UUUGCAUGCCGCUGAGACAAAACUCUGCACAUUCAACAAUGAUUUACCACCAGGCCCAUAUGUGCUUUUGUAUGCUGAUGGGAGUCUUGUUAAUAAAAUACCAGGAUCUGCAAAUAAUUUUAUACUGCAAGACUACAAAAAUGAAAUUGGCAAACAAUUUAACAGAAUAACAUUCUUCAUCUGCCCAGAGGCUGAAUACAAUAAAUUAGAAAAUGACAGUAGUGAUCCUGAAGAAGUGACUAUUCAUCCAAAACAUAAAAUAGAAGAGGACUUUCUCAAUGAUACCGUGCUUUUUGUCCACAGCUCCCCCAGGGAAAAAAAUGAAAAUCUAACUGCAAGGAGUAAAGAUGUGGUAAAUC